GCGCAAACUCGAUCACUAACUCUGCAUUAUGUUGCUGAAGUGAGGGGAACCAGGUUACUAAAAUAAUUGUGGUGAUAGACAUGUAUUAGCCUCAGAAGCUAAUGAGGUAGGCCAUUCUAUCCUAGUACAAUG